rnacentral:lncRNA from 1 species
AAGUUAACUGGUCAGGGAAAAGAUUUCUUUUGGAACACAGAAGCCAUCGCUGUGUGCGGAAAUCCAUGACCUGGCCAUGACUUCUACAACCCGGAGGACUUGCCUGGCAUUACCGAAAAGCACAGGGGAAAGAUUCUGUGGCAGAGAAUGAUGGGAGUUGUGAUCCAUACCUCCGUGUGCAUAAUGGUUGUACCUGCUCCAGGAAGGCGCUGGAUCCUCCCAACUCCAUGGCCUGUUCCAGCCACCGUGUCAACAUGCCUUGGUCCAUAGCUCUGGAAGGCACACACCAAGCAGGACCAGUGAACAGAAGAUGAGAAGGGAAGAGAUUAGGACACAAACAACAGACAGAAGGUGACCACAGGAGGACACAGUGAGAAGCUGGCCAUCUGCAAGCCAAGGAGAGAGACCUCAGGAGAAACCAAACCUGCCAGCACCUUAAUCUUAGACUUCUAGCCCUCAGAACGGUGAGGAAAUAAAUCUCUGUUGUUCAUGCC